rnacentral:rRNA from 3 species
GAUUGCUGUGACGUGGGUGGUUCGCCGCCUCCGAUACUGCAAGAAGUUCAUUGAACCUUAUCAUUUAGAGGAAGGAGAAGUCGUAACAAGGUUUCCGUAGGUGAACCUGCGGAAGGAUCAUUG